CACUAAAUCAUAUCAUAUUUCAAUGGCCUCUAUAAAAUUCUCCAUUGGAUCAAUUUUGCUAAUUUUCUUGAUUUUGUUUUCUCUAUUAGCCCUCCAUCAAUGUGAUGAAAAUACUCAAAUUAAAGCAGACACGACAACCGAUCAAUGCAUUCCAGUUCAUGAGCAAAGCAAUCCAGUAGCCAUAUGGUGUUGCCCAGUAACUAUAGAAUGCUAUGAUACUAACCAAACAUGUCAUAAUAAUUGUCACUAAUUAUGAUAAUUUUUCGAGUAAAAUAUAAUAUUAAUAAUUCGAGAAAGCAUUAUGAAUUUGCUCAAUUAGUACUCAUGAGUUUCAUGUUACUAAUUUUGUUGAUGUAUAACUAAAAUAAAAAUAACUCGAUAAUUAUAACCUUAAUAAAGUUCAAUUUUCAGCUAUCGA